CAGUAAUACCCCUCAAGGAAAUGCUCUGGACGGUUGUUUGUCAGGUUCCCUUUUGUGGGUAUAGCUGUAUGAUCUAGAGAUAAUUACUGAUCCUCCUUUGACACCUCUAUUUCUUCUUGGAGAGUGGGUACAGCUGUCAUACUCAGUUCGUGGCACCUCUUUAGAACCAAUCAUCUGAUGGAAGCAAAGCCAAGUGUGGGAGCUGCGACAGGACAAGCACUUGUUAAAUGUGAGAUGGAGGAAAUACAUUUUUAAUAAAUGAUAUGAAAAUGGCUUCAG